UACGUAGGGGGCAAGCGUUGUCCGGAUUUACUGGGCGUAAAGAGCGUGUAGGCGGCCAGACCGGUCCGUUGUGAAAACUGGAGGCUCAACCUUCAGACGUCGACGGAAACCGUUUGGCUAGAGUCCGGAAGAGGAGAGUGGAAUUCCUGGUGUAGCGGUGAAAUGCGCAGAUAUCAGGAAGAACACCGAUGGCGAAGGUAGCUCUCUGGGACGGUACUGACGCUGAGACGCGAAAGCGUGGGGAGCGAACAGG
rnacentral:rRNA from 1 species